CUUUCCUCUGCUCUUCACACUUCCUUGCAGACAUAGUGAUAAUAAAUUGACCUUAAGGACAGUUACAAACUAUGGAUUUAAUUGUAUACAUUCUAUGGAUCUAAUUCUGCUAUGAUAUUAUUGUACCAUUUCAAGAGGCUUGCUUGAUUACAUUUUUCUUGUUUCGUUUAUAGCGUCAAUUUUCCUGGUUAGAAUGAUACUUAUGAAAAUCAUCUCACCUGGUGGUCCAGCUCCAGUAGCCAGGUGGGACAGGGUCCCUGGAGAAAUACCAACCAGCCUGCACACUGGAAUGGAGCCUCAAGAAGUUCACACCACUUGCAACAGUGAGGAGCCUGGCCCCUCCGCUUCCUGUGUGGACCUGGGAUUUGAUCACCAUGUGGGAAGCACUCUAGUGGAGAGACUCUGGCUUUGUUAGAGUCCCAGUUUGCCCACUUUUUUCCAUUCUCACUCAAUAAAACCCUGUUUUGCUCACCUUUUAAACUGUCUGUGAGCCUAAAUUUUCAUGGCUGUGGAACAGAUAAGAAUGCCAUCUCUAGUUGAACUAAGGAAAGUCCUGCAUCAUUUUCGCGCCCAAAAUGGGGCUCAAGAAGUGGUGAGUGAAAUGGGGACACAAAACCUCUUACUGUUGCUUCUAAGCCUUUUCAUCCUGGGACUUCUGAGGGUGGGGAAAACCAUACCCCUACCCCCUGUUGCUCUCGGGACUUUUCAUGGCCUUUUCUUUCCUUUUUCUGGAUCCACUGCCGAGUAGCAGCUUCCUGCCUUGCUGGGACUGGAAUGCAUGGCCUAAGGGUCCCGCACAGCUGGCUGGCUGGUCCUAACCACUUGCUGCUGCUGCAGUCUUCCCCUUCCUGGGCCAAGGGGUUUAACUCUAUUGGACAGCAAUUAAGCUUAAACUUGUCUCCCUGGUGGAGGAACCAUUUUCGUAAGAAUAAGAGGUUCUUCCCCAGGAAUUUUUAAACCGCUUUUUGUUCUUUCUCCUUCUCUACCUCAUCAACAAGUUAGUCCUUAAAGAUAUUUUUUUUCCUUUUAGAAGAUGUUUUUACUGGGCCAGGCCUCCCAACUAUCACUGUUUGUACUCUCUGUAAAGUUUUGGUUGUGGAAUAGGAUUUGUGGGGCUAGUCUUUGGCUAUGGCAAAUCUGAUGAGCUUUGCAUGUCUGUAUGGUUUGUGUUGCAAACCUCCAUCUUGCUUUACAUCCCGCGAGCAUGGCCAGUAGCCACUUGGCAAGGCUUUGUUGAGCAAUCCUGUCUGCCGGGAUGAGCCCUCUCAGAUUAGAUAUCUGCAUGUUUUCCCAGCCCUGUCUCUUAAAGGACUACACCCAGUGACUGGGUGUUCUUCUGCCUGUCUGUGUGUGUACUGUGUGUGAUAUCUGUAAAAAGAGCUCUAAUUAAUUUGGCCUGAAGAAAAACAAGAGCUUGGAUCUAAUAUUUUUUAAAGGUAAGAUAAAAGCUGUGGUACCCUUCAGUUCACGUGACUUUAAUCUUUAAGAAACAUAAGCAGCCCUAAAGACUACUGGUAAAAUUCCGGUCAGAUGCAAGGUUUGUCAAGUGUUUUGAGGUUACACACUGCUUUUUGGGUUUUGAGAACUAUUUGACUUGCCAGUUUCACAACUGGUAACGUGUGGGGACAUAUGGAACUAAUCACGCCCUUAACUAAGAAGGCAAACCUUGGCUGCACUUAGCACACAAAGCAACUUACCAAGUUUUAUCUUAAAGUUAAAAAUUGCUAGGAGUUAACUGAAACUACUAGAAAUAGAUUUAUAUGCAGGGUGGGUAAGAACAGCAAAAUAUGUUUUUUAUAAAAGGUUAUAAGAAGGCAUGGAAAUGUCAACUUUUGCCUAGGGUUAAAGAAUUGUUUUCAGUUAAAUUAGGAAAAAGCUGAAGGUUCCAAGAAGUGGUGAAAGAACUGUGGAAAUUAAUCUUGCAGAAGAGGUUCUUUGUGUAAACAUAUUGACUGAAUGGGUUAUAAAAGGUUUUUGCUUCUUUAAAAUUUCUCAGUCAUCAUUUUGGAAAAAUAAAAAACACGGUAAUCUGGAAUUCUAUUUCAUAAUAUCAUUAAACCGUAAAGAUAUUUAACAGCUUCUGAAAAUCAAAUUUAAGUUUCAAAUUGUCUUUUCUGACCCCUGGAUUUUCAGUUACUUCAGAGGGCCCCCGAAGUGUCCAAAAAAGAGAGGUAAACGGGAUCCUUUGACAUGUUUAGAUACAUAGGAUUGCCAAAAUGAUAUUCAAUCUUCUUAGAAAAUAAUGCUUAUAUAUAUUCCAAAAUUGCAUGGGAUUUCUAAAAUUCUAAUGUCUAACUAUUUGCUAUCAAUCAUAAUUAAGGUUAUGUUAAGUUAUUGGAAACCAAGAAGAUAACCAAAUCUGUCAAUUAUGUUUCUAAUUGUAACUACACACUGAACAUUUUGCUCUUCACAGACAAUUGUUGUCUCAUUUUAAUCCUUUUCAAAAAAUUGUUUAUAAUUAGCUAUAGAACUGUAAUAGGUGCUCUUAAAUACAGGCUUCUGAUACCUUUGGAUUUUGUAACAUUGGAAUACAGGAAAAUGUACAGGACUCAUGAAAAGCUGAAAUGCUCACGAAUAUCAAGCAAAACAAGGGCUAACUAAAUGGACUAAACUCAGAAAGCUAAAGCAAUCUUUUUGACUUUUGGUUGAAAUAUUGCUGAUCCUUUUUCUGUUUUUCAUAGUCAAGGAAACUUAUUUUGAAUGAUUUACAGCCUUUAAGAAUUAAGCAAGGUAUACUCCUGUGAUCAAGAUAUGGAGCAUGUUUGUUUCUCUCUGCCUGGUUCUUCCAGAAUUUGGAAACUAUCUGCCAUCAAACUCCAAACAGUCAUGCAACCAGAGCCUCUGAAGAUGGCCCCUUCUGCCGGGAACACUUAGAUUGGCCUCUUGAGGGAGUUCUGACUGCCAUUUCCCCAAAACAGCGCCCCGUGUUAGCAGGAAGCGGUUAAGAUCAGUCUUCAUCGUUAUCCUUUACCUAAGGGCAGUUAGAUGUACUUCUUUAAAGUGGGGAAUGAGGCAGCCAGUGGGAGGAGAUCCCUGGAGAAAUUCCAACCAGCCUGCGCACUUGGGUGGAGCCUCAGGAAGUUCAUGCCAUUUGAAGCAGGGAGGAGCCUGCUUCGUCCUUUUCCAGUGUAGACCUGGGAUUCGAACGCCAGGCAGGUGUUUCCCCCACCUCUUUUUCUCCCUUUUCACCCAA